rnacentral:rRNA from 1 species
GCCUGAGGAUGAUCUCGCGUCCGAUUAGCUAGUAGGUGGGGUAAGAGCCUACCUAGGCGACGAUCGGUAGCUGGUCUGAGAGGAUGACCAGCCACACUGGGACUGAGACACGGCCCAGACUCCUACGGGAGGCAGCAGUGGGGAAUUUUCCGCAAUGGGCGAAAGCCUGACGGAACAAUACCGCGUGAGGGAGGAAGGCUCUUGGGUUGUAAACCUCUUUUCUCAGGGAAGAACACAAUGACGGUACCUGAGGAAUCAGCAUCGGCUAACUCCGUGCCAGCAGCCGCGGUAAUACGGAGGAUGCCAGCGUUAUCCGGAAUGAUUGGGCGUAAAGCGUCCGCAGUGGCUGUGUUAGUCUGCUGUCAAAGAGCAAGCUCAACUUUGUAAGGCAGUGGAAACUACACGGCUAGAGUGCGUUUCGGGCAGAGGGAUUUCUGGUGUAGCGGUGAAAUGCGUAGAGAUCAGGAGAACAACCGGUGGCGAAAGCGCUCUGCUAGGCCGCAACUGACACUGAGGGACGAAGCCGGGGAGCGCACUGGGGAUCAGAUUACCCCGGUAGUC